rnacentral:rRNA from 1 species
GAGUUUGAUCGUGGCUCAGAUUGAACGCUGGCGGCGUGCCUAACACAUGCAAGUCGAGCGGUAACAGGCGUAGCAAUACGUGCUGACGAGCGGCGAACGGGUGAGCAAUGCUUCGGAAUCUGCCCAAUGGUGGGGAAUAACCAGUCGAAAGAUUGGCUAAUACCGCAUACGCCCUAACGGGGAAAGCGGGGGUCGCAAGACCUCGCGCCGAUGGAUGAGCCGAAGUCGGAUUAGCUAGUUGGUAGGGUAACGGCCUACCAAGGCGACGAU